UCAGACACGUCAGAGUUUGAUCCUGGCUCAGGACGAACGCUGGCGGCGUGCCUAACACAUGCAAGUCGAGCGAUGAAGCUUCCUUCGGGAAGUGGAUUAGCGGCGGACGGGUGAGUAACACGUGGGUAACCUGCCUCAAAGAGUGGGAUAGCCUUCCGAAAGGGAGAUUAAUACCGCAUAACAUUAUCUUGUGACAUCACAGGAUAAUCAAAGGAGCAAUCCGCUUUGAGAUGGACCCGCGGCGCAUUAGCUAGUUGGUAAGGUAAUGGCUUACCAAGGCAACGAUGCGUAGCCGACCUGAGAGGGUGAUCGGCCACAUUGGAACUGAGAUACGGUCCAG
rnacentral:rRNA from 1 species